rnacentral:snRNA from 1 species
AUACUCACUUCUGCAGCACAUAUACUAACAUUGGAAUGAUAAAGAGAAAAUUAGCAGGGCCCCUGAACAAGGAUGACACAUAAAUUCAUGAAGUGUUCCAUAAUUUA